GCCUACGGGGGGCAGCAGUGGGGAAUAUUGCACAAUGGGCGAAAGCCUGAUGCAGCAACGCCGCGUGAAGGAAGAAGGGUUUCGGCUCGUAAACUUCUGUCAACAGGGACGAAAGAAAUGACGGUACCCAAGGAGGAAGCUCCGGCUAACUACGUGCCAGCAGCCGCGGUAAUACGUAGGGAGCGAGCGUUGACCGGAAUUACUGGGUGUAAAGGGAGCGUAGGCGGGAUUGCAAGUUGGAUGUGAAAACUGCGGGCUCAACCCGGAGCGUGCAUUCAAAACUGCGAUUCUUGAGUGAAGUAGAG
rnacentral:rRNA from 1 species